UUGUGUGCAUUUCAAUUUUGAAAUUUCUACAUAUUUUUGUAUGUCCAUACAUGAAAGCUUUUUGUUGAAAGCUCCAGCUUCAUUCAAUUCGUUGAAGCCAAUAAAACGAAUGUGUGCCGUGUCUCGUACAAAUUAAAUUAUAAGGGGUUUUCUAAUAAGAGUUGUUCUUUUAACUAGCGUGAUUUUCCGGUAGAUGUCACACCUUUGAUGCUGUACUUUUUUUUUAAUUUGAUAAGCAAAAACAAAAUGGAACGAUGGGAGCUUUAACAGUGCAUUGAAAUUAUUAAAAUUUACUAUAAAAGUGGAGUAAGCCUGGCUGAGAAGAUUCGUGAAGCACCUCAUCGGAUUGAAAUACAGAAAUUGGUGAAAAAAAUCGAGCAGCUUGGACAAGUCAGUGUUGUGAAGAAUAAAACACGUGCUAAUCACUCAAGGACAACUGAGAAUAUUGCCAUGCAGGGUGUUGGAAAAAACCCAGGCUUGCCAAUUUUUUUUUUUUUAACUCGGCAUUCCACAAACGUUUUGAGUCUCAAAACUUAUAAAGUUCAGCUAACACAACACCUUUCACCGAAGCAAUAAACAUGGAUUUUACAAGUCUAUGUGUAAUAGGUUCAUUAUGAUUCAUGUUGCCGCAACAGCAACAAAGAAGAAGGAGAUUCAAGAUUCAAGCAAUUAGGGUAGUGCAUAUUUCGGCCGCUUUAAGAACUUAAAAUUCGAUGGACUUAUUUUUUAGAAAGAUUUAUCUUGGAGUACCACCAAACCUUAAUCGACCAGUGUGAUUAAAAUAAUCUAAAUAUAUGCGGCCUAAGCCACCGAA